rnacentral:tRNA from 1 species
GGUGGCUCAGUGGUAAGAGUGUUUGCCUUGCAUGCAUGAAGCCCUGGGUUCAAUUCCUCAGCACCA